rnacentral:lncRNA from 1 species
GUUUUUUUUUUUGCUCCAAUCAAGGAUCAGUACUAGCUGGUGCUAAUCUAAGUCCCAACAGUUCCAACCAAUGCCGUUCUCUUUUAAUUAAAAAAAGUGUCCCACGCCAGUGCAUUUGUUGGAGGGACAAAAGUAUACUGUCUACUUGUCCUGGAUAGAACUCCUGGAAGGCGUAAGAACGUCUACGUGCAUAUAUAUAAUUAUAUACUCCUAUAUAGUAUAUAUGUUUCCUUAUUGAAAUCACUAUGCCUUGACCAGUACUCAAGGCCACAAAACAAUGGCAAUUAUUGCGGUACAUGCACAUGCCUGGGUGACACUCACCUGUCACCUGUAUACAAUUCACCUUCAAAUGAAAGAAGACUAUGGCCCUUGCAUGCAUCUGGCCUAUUCUUUUUUUUCUUCUUUUCUUUUCUUUUCGGCGACAAUUAUAGUUGGACUGGAAAAAAGCUUUGGACCAGAAACAGUUGAUCGUUUUAAAGAUCGAGUGGUUGCCAAUGUGAUUGCUUAUCAUUUGGAUUGAUAACAUUUGUGUGGCUCCUUGAUUGGUUCAUGAAUGGUUUCUUUUUAAGCUAGAAAACAUACAAGGCCAGGCCGGGCCGGGCCGGGCCAAUCAGACCUACCAGGUCCUAUAUAACCCACCCAGGUAAGGUCAGGUCAGGCUAGUUGUGUGCUGCCGCAGGCACAUGAUGAAAGCUCUUUGACACGGAUGGGUCCUAUUGGGAGGGAGAAAAACCUGUCUAUAUAUGAGAAGCUAUCGUAUUCCGAACCAUAAAUUGACGUAACCUAUAAACGGACUUGAAAGGGUGUGUGAUCGAGUACAAUCAUUUCUGAAUUGUAAUGUGGCAGCAACAUCAACAACCGCCAUCUCUUUUUGCAGCGAAAAGAAGCAUCAUGCGUGACUGCUAGUUCUUUUUCCAAGGAAUACAAUGAUGUAUUUGGACAGGGAAAUCUGCAGUGUGAUAUGCACAUCAUACAAUGGUCCUAACCUCACCGUGACAUUGUGUGCACAUCGCUUGGACGCUAUUUUACUUUCUUUGUGUCCGGGCAUAAGCAGGUCUGCGUUGGACUAACCCGUUGUGAGAACUGAGAGUCUGAGACGCUUGCUUGAACCGGAAACAUCUUUUAACUAAGAAUCUAACGAUGCGAUCUUCAUAUAGCAAACCUAUGUAGUGGUUUCAAAUGUAUAUAAGUGGUUGUGAUCAAGACUGCUCUGUUUUUUCAUUUUCAAGUAAGAAGGAACCAUGGCCUAUGUCGCAGUCAGUUAAUCAGGCCCCGUUCGGUUAGCACGUUCAGCACGUUCCAGGCCGUUCCACGUCAGGAACGGUUCCGUCCUUAUAUAAAUUAGUGAAGGAAUCCUCCGGCUGGGAUUGAUUCCUGACGGCAAAAUAGGUAAUUUGGUACCGAACUUUGCACUAAGAGUUAAGUUCGUCUCUCAACUUUCAGAUUAGUCAAUUUAGACCCUCAACUUUUAUUUUUAUUUAAACUUGUCCUUGUGUUGAUUAGUGCUCUAUGUUUGCAUAAGAUUAAAGCAAAAGGUCCCUUUUACCCUUAGCUCAUGUAGAUCAAACAUAUAUGUGCUCAUACUCCCUUCAUACAUGCACACAACAAUAUAUUUUUUAAACUAACACAAAAUAUGAUUUGUAAAAAGUGUAUCUACUCGUACUCUUUAAAGUCCUUCAUGUGAUCAUACAAAUUUGAUAGGCAAAAUAUAUAUAUACCAAAUAAAUAUUUACUCAUUCUGUUUCAUAUUAGUUUCAUGAUAGUAUGGAGUCACGUAUCAGCAUAAGGAUAAGUUUGAUUAAAAACGAAAAUUAAGGGACUAAAUUGCUUCAGAUUGAGAGAUGAAAUUGACCUUCGAUGUUCAUGAUCAAAUUGCCUAUUUUGCCAUUCCUAACCAACCGAACGUGGCCUAAAUGUGACCUCGUGGACGGUAUUCGCGUCCAUGCCAUUUUCUCCUCACCUGAAUCUGCCAAAGCGAUAUUUACCUCAAGAGACAAAGGCCCCUAUAGUGAUCUCUGAUGCAAACGCAGCGCCACGUCAAAUCAAUCCCAAUCCCCAUUCCCUUCGCUCUCUAGCUCGCGGUGGGGCACGCACCGGCGGCAGCAUAGCACACGGUAAUCCGCGAAUCAGCGGAGGGGUUAGUGCCGCGGGCUCGGAAAAGGACGUGGACGCCAGUUCCGGGACCACGCCAGUUCCGGGGCUGCGAAAGCAGGGGUAAAUUGCCAGCUUUGGGUAAAUUGGUCGGGAGGCGAGAGACGUAAAUGGAAAUCGCAGCGGGUGGCGGAAAUGGAAAUUUCUUUUUUAUUUGUAUAUACCCCCACUUGGCUCUCGUAAUCCACGUAAAUAGGUUUAAGAAAAAGGGACGUCCGUGAUCCACGAGCAUCUGGAGAGUCUAGUCUGGACAUAAAGGGCCAUGCGUAAUUCUAGGUUAGUGGCUAUCCCCUGAGAUUUGGUCGCCGCUCGUUGCGGUAACGUGCUGAGCAACCGAUGUUGGGCUGUAAGAAUAUUGCAUCGUGCCAAUCGUGUAGCUCAGCCUCAGGUGUCCACUCUCUCUGGUUAGAACAGAUGAAAGCUACUAUAGUUGGACUGAAAAAAAGCUUUGGACCAGAAAAAGUUCUAAACAUAACCCUAUCUCCUUUCUUUCUCCUUUCUUUCAAAAAAACAAUCAAAAAAUCAAAAAGAGAAGGAUCCAGUUGGUGACCCUAUUGUGUGGUGGCUCGUGUCGAUGUCCCAAUCCGAUCGGACAGAGAUUGUGGAGGCUCUUAUCGAUGACCCAAUCCGACCGAGCGGAGUUUAGUUGAGACUCGUGUCGAUGACCAAAUCCGACCGGGUGGAGCGCUAGGAGGCCGCACGGCGGCAGGAGUUGAGCUCGGCAUGUGUUGAUGUCCCAAUCCAACCGGUCGAUAUGUUGUUGAGUUGAGUUGAGUGCAAUGGUGUGGUGCGGCACGUGUUGAUGACUCAAUCCAACCUGCCGGUGUUUAUUUUGUUUUUUUUCCAUUUGUUGUUUCGCAAGUCUGGACUUCAUCUUCUUUUUAAUAUAAUUGGCAGCUGCCUGGUUCGUUUAAAAAAAACAUAACCUAUAGUUAGACGCAUAGCAAAUUUAUUUAUUUAGAAAAAACAAAACGACCUACAUUUUGGAACUGAGGGAGUAUAAAAACCUUUUAGUAAAAAACUUUUAGUAUGAAAGCCAGUGCUAGUAGCAAAGUUAGCCAGAGGAUGGUGGUGAUUGGCGGUAAAUCGAUAAUGUCAGCUAUGGGACCGCGACAGUGUUGAGGAUCGCAGGGUGUCACAACGACCAUCGAGCUCGGCGUUUUAGUGUGAUCAUAGAAGGAACAAGAUUCGGUGGCAUGAAGCGGUAAAAAUCAUGGAAAGAGGAUAUGGUGAGGUAAGGGCGUGUUCAAGAAGCUCAGUUGAUUAAAAAAGAAAAGAUGCGAGAAUAACAUUCCAUUGCUUAGGAAGUUUAUCAGAAAAAUAGUCAUUUUAAUCCCUCAAAUUUGUCUCGAGACCAAAGUCUGUCCCUCAAAUUUUAUUAUCGGCCAAUUUAGUCCCUCAACUAUUGGUUUUGGAUCAAACUUGUCCUUAUGCUGAUGUGGUGCUCUUUGUUGGUAUGAGACUAAUGCGGAAAAUCUUUUUUACAUUUGGAUCAUGUAGUUCAAAUAUGUAUGUGCUCAUAUUUCUUUGAUAUAUACACGCAAAAAUAUUUUUUUAACUAACACAAAUGGUUUCUAAAAAAUGCACGUCCAUGAUACUAAACGUUAAACGGUCGGUCACCUACAGUUUAGCUCUUUAUUCGAACUAAACGGCUAAACAAAUGAUUAAAUAGACACAGUUGGGCACUAUGUAGCAUUUACACGGCGUGUGAACGUGCUAAACAGCCAUGUAGAAGAAUAAUGAGUACUCGCAUGUGCUCAUACAAAUUUGAUAUGCAAAAUGUAUGUACUCAAACAAGUAUUAACUCAUACUAUUUGGUAUAUAUACAACUCAAUGUAUAUAUACAUAUCUAAAAUUGGCAUGUGGGCAUGUGCUCACAUGCUCGUAGUAUAUUAUAUAUACUCUCCACGUAUGCAUUCAUAUUGUCUCAGUAAACACACACAAAUAUAUAUAUAUAUAUAUAUGCUCAUAUUCAUUUCGGAUCAUCCUGAUAUUCUGCUUGUAACAUCGGAAAUUUGAGGGGAAGAAGGAGCUAAGGGCAAAAAUCACUUUUCGCAUCAGUUUCAUGCCAACAUGGAGCCCCCACAUAAAUAUAAGGACAAGUUUGAAAAAAAUAAGAGUUGAAGGAUUGGAUUGGCCAAUCUGAAAGUUGAGGGACUAACUUGGCUCUUGUUGAGGGAUUAGAUUGACCAAUCUGAAAGUUCUUUAGAGUAAAAUUGAGAGAUCAAAACGUUUAUUUUGUCAAGUUCAUCCUGAUUUUUGCGCUUGAUAUUAUUAACGUAAUAUGUGUCCAUUAAUCUUUCCCUUGGAUAGGUGGUGGCUAUGGUAUUAGCAUAUAGCGGGUAGACUCUAAAACAACUAAUAGCGGACUGUAGCGGUUAAAUUGUACAAGAGAAAAAAAGUGAUACCUUGUCUCAAAUAACUAUAGUGGAGUUAUAAACGACUAUUUAAAACCUUAGGUGUUAGUAUGGCAACGAAAUAGUGAAGAUGAUUAUAGGCAGUGGCGAAGCUUCAGUGUAUAUGGGCCGGUAUACUAGACGUUUGCAAUGUUUUAGCCUAAUUUUACCGCUGUUAGUCUAUACAAAUUUUAAACUUUGAGUGGAUCAUGGCCACCUUUGGCCUCACCCACCUCCGCCAAUGGUUUUAUGGGCGGUGAGGAUAGAAUGCUAGAUCAAAUGGAUGGAUAAUAACCUAAAAAUCCAAUAAUUGGAUGGACACGAGGCUAGAUGUCUCAUGUCUGAGUGAGCUGUAGGUUAACUUAUGUAAACGCAUGUUGAUGAUGAUGGGUCACUUUGCACGGCCGGCCGGGUUCCGGAGCCGGAGAACACGGUAAAACAGAGCGAGGAUUUGCAAGGAAAGAGGACGGACAAGAUGGCAGCAGCAAGGUACCAAGCGCAACGAGACGAGGCGGCGGGCUCUCUGCUGCUGCCCCUGCGCUGCUUUGCGCGGAGAGCGACGCGCGCGCCAGCGGGAGCUCGAAACGUGUCCGCCGCAACCCCCACACGCGGUACUGGCUGGCGCGACGCCCAUCGAUCACCCGGCCUAUACGGCUAUACCCCCUUUCUCUCUCUCUCUCUCUCUCUCUCUCUCUCUCUCUCUCUCUCUCUCUCUCUUCUCCGCCCACGCGGCCACGCAACCACGCGCGCGCACGCAGACUUCAGCAGCCUCCCCCCCCCCUAGUCCUGCGGCCGGUGGUGUGGUCUACUGUACUGGAGCACCCUCUCUCUCUCUCUGGGCUCUAUUAUUUUGGCCGCUGAUAAUGCCGGUGGGAAGGGGGGGGGGGGAGGGGGAAAGUCAAGCCUGGCCCUCGUGCUGCUCGCUUAUCUACUCGCGUAUCCACCUGCCACCUGGUGCGAGCCACUGUCCCCUCCUCCGGGCCUCCCUUUCUCUCUCUCUCUCCUGUCCUGCGCUAUGGAUAAGAGGGAGGGGAGAGAGAAAGAGAAAGAGAGACGGCACAGUUACUGCACCGGGCGUGGUCCAGAGCCUGUGCCGGUGUAGGCCCAGCCGCCCAAGAGCCCACAAGCCGAGCCGAGAGGGCUAGCUCAUCAGCUCGGCUCGGCUCUCUCAGCUCACCACGAGUCACACACGAGCUAGCUGUGCUUUUUGUGAGGAAUCUCAAAUGGGCUAGGCUGCCCGAAUGAGCAAUAGCCCAUUAGAGCCAUAGAUUCAAACGGGUCAAUUUCUCAUAGGCCCAACACCUUGCGAGAAGCCCAGCCCAGCCCCGCGCCUCUUUCGCCACCGUCUCUCCCGGCACCGGCGCACCGCCUCAAAUCAAAACAAAAAGAUCCCGGAGCCAACCUCGCCGCCGCCGCCGCCUCGUCGUUUGCUACCUCUCCAAUUGCCGCCUCCUCCCCACCGACCGGCCCAGCUGCCCCCUACUCCUUUGUUCGCUCCUCGUCUCUCCUCCCCCACCUGCAGCCCCCAUCGGCAGCAUGUCGGGCCCGGCCCCGACCCCGACCCCGCUGCCGCCCGCCCGGCGCGGUACGACUUCCUCAACUCCAAGCCGCCGCCCAACUAUGUCGCGGGUCUCGGCCGCGGCGCCACCGGGUUCACCACCCGCUCGGAUAUCGGGCCGGCCCGCGCGGCGCCCGACCUGGCCGACCGCUCCGCCGCCGCCGCCGGCCCAGGCGUCGGCCGCGGCCGAGGGAAGGCGCCCGGCGAGGACGACGGCGGGGACGACGGUGGCGGCGACGAGGAGAAGGGGUACGACGAGAACCAGAAAUUCGACGAGUUCGAGGGCAACGACGCCGGCCUCUUCUCCAGCGCCGACUACGACGACGACGACCGCGAGGCGGACGCGGUGUGGGAGAGCAUCGACCAGAGGAUGGACUCGCGCCGCAAGGACCGCCGCGAGGAGCGGCUCAAGCAGGAGAUCAAGAAGUACCGCGCGUCGAACCCAAAGAUCACCGAGCAGUUUGCGGACCUCAAGAGGAAGCUGGCCGAUCUGUCCGCGCACGAGUGGGAGAGCAUACCGGAGAUUGGGGACUAUUCUCUGCGCAACAAGAAGAAGCGGUUCGAGAGCUUCGUCCCGGUGCCGGACACCCUGCUUGAGAAGGCUCGGCAGGAGCAGGAGCAUGUCACGGCGCUUGACCCCAAGAGCCGUGCGGCUGGUGGCACUGAGACGCCAUGGGCACAGACUCCUGUUACUGAUCUCACAGCUGUAGGCAAGGGUCGUGGCACUGUGCUUUCACUGAAGUUGGAUAGGUUGUCAGAUUCGGUUUCCGGCCUCACUGUUGUUGAUCCCAAGGGAUACUUGACGGACCUAAAAAGCAUGAAGAUUACUAGCGAUGCUGAGAUUUCUGACAUCAAGAAGGCACGACUAUUGCUCAAGUUGGUGACGCAGACAAACCCUAAGCACCCACCCGGUUGGAUUGCUGCUGCUAGGCUUGAAGAGAUUGCCGGCAAGCUUCAGGCUGCUCGGCAGCUCAUCCAGCGUGGCUGUGAGGAGUGUCCCAAGAACGAGGAUGUUUGGCUUGAGGCGUGCCGUUUGGCUAGUCCAGAUGAGGCAAAGGCUGUCAUUGCGGGGGCGUGAUGUCAAUUCCAAAUUCUGUGAAGCUGUGGUUGCAGGCAGCAAAAUUGGAGACCAGUGAUCUGAAUAAGAGCAGGGUGUUGAGGAAAGGGUUGGAGCACAUCCCUGAUUCUGUCCGGCUGUGGAAGGCUGUAGUUGAGCUUGCGAAUGAGGAGGAUGCAAGGCUGUUGCUUCACAGGGUUGUAGAGUGUUGCCCGCUGCAUGUUGAGCUUUGGCUUGCCCUUGCCAGGCUGGAGACCUAUGACCAAGCAAGGAAGGUACUUAAGAAGGCAAGGGAGAAGCUCCCCAAGGAGCCUGCCAUAUGGAUUACAGCCGCGAAGCUAGAGGAGGCGAAUGGGAACACGCAAUCGGUUAACAAGGUGAUCGAGAGAGGUAUCAGAUCUCUACAGAGAGAAGGAAUGGAUAUUGAUAGGGAGGCCUGGCUAAAGGAAGCAGAAGCAGCGGAGCGUGCUGGAUCUGUGUUGACUUGCCAGGCUAUUGUGAAGAACACUAUUGGCAUUGGUGUUGAUGACGAGGAUCGGAAGCGUACAUGGGUUGCUGAUGCUGAGGAAUGCAAGAAGCAUGGUUCAAUUGAAACAGCACGUGCCAUCUAUGCACAUGCACUUACUGUGUUCCUUACUAAGAAGAGUAUCUGGCUGAAAGCAGCUCAGCUUGAGAAGAGCCACGGGAGUAGGGAGUCACUUGAUGCGCUCCUCAAGAAGGCUGUUAACUACAAUCCACGAGCUGAGGUGUUAUGGCUUAUGGCUGCAAAGGAGAAAUGGCUGGCUGGGGACGUGCCUGCUGCUUGGGCCAUCCUUCAGGAAGCUUAUGCUGCUAUUCCCAAUUCAGAAGAGAUCUGGCUGGCAGCAUUCAAGAUCGAGUUUGAGAACAAUGAGCCAGAGAGAGCAAGAAUGCUUUUGGCCAAGGCCAGGGAAAGAGGAGGCACUGAGAGGGUUUGGAUGAAAUCUGCAAUUGUUGAGAGGGAAUUGGGGAAUCUGAGUGAGGAAAGGAGGUUGUUAGAGGAAGGUCUGAAGCUUUUCCCUUCAUUCUUCAAAUUGUGGUUAAUGCUGGGACAGAUGGAAGACCGGAUUGGUCAUGGAGUGAAGGCCAAGGAGAUUUAUGAGAAUGGCCUGAAGCACUGCCCCAGUUGCAUCCCUCUUUGGCUCUCUCUAGCUAGCCUUGAGGAGAAGAUUAGUGGCUUGAGUAAAUUGCGUGCUGUCCUUACAAUGGCAAGAAAGAAGAACCCAGCUACACCUGAACUCUGGCUUGCAGCAAUUCGAGCUGAAUUGAGGCAUGGGAACAAAAAGGAAGCCGAUGCUCUACUGGCCAAAGCAUUACAAGAGUGUCCAACAAGUGGUAUUCUUUGGGCUGCAGUGGUUGAGAUGGCGCCACGCCCCCAGCGUAAAGGAAAGAGUUCGGAUGCUAUUAAGCGAUGUGAUCAUGAUCCACAUGUCAUUGCAACUGUGGCCAAACUUUUCUGGCAUGAAAGGAAGGCUGAUAAAGCUAGGACUUAGUUGAACAGGGCUGUUACUCUCGCUCCUGAUAUUGGUGAUUUUUGGGCAUUGUACUAUAAAUUUGAACUUCAGCAUGGAAAUGUGGAUACACAAAAGGAUGUUCUGAAUAGCUGUGUUGCAGCUGAACCAAAACAUGGUGAGAAAUGGCAAGCAAGAACCAGGGCUGUUGAAAACUCACACCAGCCAGUUGAGGCUCUCCUGAAGAAAGCUGUCGUGGCACUUGACGCAGAAGAAAAUGCCAAUGCCGCAGGCGCCUAGGCUCCUAGAUCACAUUUUUAAGGUAUUUGGUGAACGUGUAUUGUACUACUGCUAUGUUAUCUUCUAGUAUUUCCUUUUAUUGUUGAGUAAAUCACUGCAUGAGAGUUGGAAGUGGGUGGUUUAAGACAAGUUGAAUUAUUAUUUUUGUUUGCAUAAUGUAGUACCAAUAUCAUGCUCAAAUCUAGUUCCUUUAUAUGCCAACUCUCAGGUGUUAUAUAACUCUCUUUAACUGCUAUAGACAUAUUCUACUGUUGCUUUAUUGUUUGCAACCAGCUUGAUGCGAAGUUUCUGCUGUAGUGACUACCACGGGUGGCCCACAUAGCCUACAUAAGGACCUCAGCUAGCCUAAUUGCUCCUCUGCUCCUUUCACUGCAUGCAACAGCAGCUGCCAUGAUGGCUCUUCUUUCUUCCCCAACUCAGUUCACUAUUUCACACCACCGACUAGCAAAACGGGUCGCCCACGCCUGCCUCAUCAGUCCAGUACCCUUGGAUUUUUGUGCUCUUCUCAGACCCAGCCCCCUCUCCAAGCUCUCUCCAAUUCGGUGGAGGUAUCAACAAGUAUUGAAAGCCAUGAUUAUUUAUGGACGGGAAGAAAAAUAUCAGUGGAUGUAUCAGCAAUUAUCGAAAGCCAUACCGCCAAUUAUAUUCUUUAUCUUAAAAUUGCAAUUGCUACACGUAUCAGUCCAUAUCACGUUGUAGCAUAUACAAGUACGGCGGCCUACAUGAAGUAUUGGUGAUACAUAGCUAGAUAGUACAAAUGGGGAUCUGAUAAAAACAAAGAAAUGAUAUUGUUACUUUGUUAGUGGUACUAGUGUUGACUGUAAGGAUUAUGGUUCCAUCACACCUAUGAUAUUGCAUAGUUAAAUUAUUGGUGGAGCAUGAGUGAAUAUUAUGCCCAGCUGUUACUUCUCACUGCAGAUUGAUAAGAUGUGUCCUUGUUCCUGAGUGGAAUGUGAUAGCUUCUGAUAAGAUGAGUUGAAGCAAAACCAAGACAUAGUGAGAGAUGGCAAGCAGUAACUAAGCCUGCUGAGAACUCACAUCAGCCAGUUGACGCCAUUCAAGGCUCUUCAUAGAGAAGAAAAUCCCAAUGCUGCAGACACCUAGGCUCCUAGUUCAGACUGUCUCGAUAAGGUAUUUGGGUGCAGCAUACGCUAUACUGCUAUCUGAUCAAGAGAAAUAUGGUGCAUAAUUUUUCUGUAACUUCUUAUUGCCUCAUGCUGAGCUACGUUUGGUUUCAGUGUCUUACUGUAUUGUUCAAUUAAAAGUUCUAAUUUUGAGGAAAUAUCUGACCCUAAAGAUUUGAGCUGCAAGUAGGUGGUUUAAGAUAAGCAGAGUUGUUUUUAUUCUUUUGCAUCAUUGUUAUGCCUCAUGCUUUUAAUGUAGUUACGUAUUGUUGCAUGUCAAAGCGGCAUCAAUGAUAUAUUUAAGCUGCAUAGACGAUCCUAAUUUACAACCUGGUUGAUGCAGAUGUCCCAUCAUCAAGGCUUCACUUUGACAGUUUUGUUUUAGCUCUUAGGAUGAUAGGUGGUUGGUCUUCUUAGCUCACAGAACCAUAUGGUUAUUAACAGUUUUGGUUACGAACCAUCACUUUGUAGUUUUAGGUUAAAGUCCAUCGCUACUAUACAAUUUUGUGCACUUAUGAUAGUUGAGUAAAAGGUCAAUCAGCAGAGAGUUGCUCCAUGCUCCAAACAAGCUUUCUGUGACUAUGGAGUGCGCACCCCAGAGCUAUUAAAUAUUUAAUUCCCCAAAUGACACCAGUGAUGUUAUGGCUCAUGUACUGGAAAUUGUAACAGAAAUGGUUGGCUAUUAUGUGUCCAACUCUUUAAGUUCAUUUGGAGAACAGUGAAAGUUUGAUAAAAUGACUUGAAGGAUAUUUACUUAUUUAGGCUUGAUUGUGAAAUGUUCUGUUCCCACUUAUGCCCACAUUGGUACAGAUCAUGUUACUGUUCUACAUGGAAUCAUGGGCUUACUUUUUCACGCAUGCUUGAUGGAUAGUUUUGCUUUGCCCUGUGGGAUUUUUCAUCGGCUAAGAAUCUGUUUUAUUUUCCCUGUCUGCUCACAGGUCUAAAUCUUAUGCGCUCUGGCAUUGGAAUGACUGAAGAAAGUUGCAAGAGUGUGGCAGCAAACCAGCUUGGACUCGAGUAACUUUCUAUCGGGCGUGCACACCAUACUGUUUUUUGCAUGUUGCCUGAGACGAGUUGAUGUUGCAGCAUUGCCCAAGUCAAGAUCUGAUCCUGGGCAUUGCCAAAGACGAGAGCUUAGGUCAGAAACAUGUGAUUCAUUGGUGAUAUGUCUAUGUAAUGUAGAACUUCAGUUUAUCACGAUGUGCAUCCUGUGCAUUCCCAGAUAUACCAGAAGUUGUUGACACUUUGUAAUUGUGUAUGUGCAGUUCCAUGUGUGCUUUGUACGGAAGUUCUCGUCGUUCCCUAUAAUCUGGCUCAAUGCUGGCAAAAUUUAGCUUGUGUUUCCAUUUUCCAAUGCGCGCUGGUGUUUUGCUCAGCCACUGUAUACCUGGCAAAAAGUUUCGUCGUCUUUGACAGUCAUUUUUUAUGUGCGAACAGUAAGAAUCGUAAUAUUGAAUAUUUCAUUCGCAUAAAAGGUCUAGAAAUUACGGGGAAAGGGAACAUUUCUUAAUUAUAAGCUUGUUGAACAUGACACAAAUUGCUAAGACCUCGUUCCCAAACCUGUCGUUUUUUCUGUUUGAGAGUAUAUAAUAUUAUAUGAACCUGUUCGCUUCAGCUUAUUCAGUCAGUCAUGUUAGGUCGGGUCGGGUCGUGUCGACCAUGUAAAUGGGCCGCACGGGGCAAGAUCAAUCAAUAAACCGCGCAUUCAGCCCAAUUUUCUCGUCGGCCCGACCCACCCAUCCACCCGUGUCUGGUUGGCGGUCGGCCACCGAUGGCUGUCAGUUUGCGGGACCCACUUGAAAGAGACAGGAAAAGUCGUAUCCAGCAGUUUCCUCACUCCUGGGUGAGGGGGAAGCCGUCGCGGCGCGAGCAGGACGGCAGAAUCCGCCGAGCUGCGUUGGGCUCCGAACCCGCUCCAGUUCUGGCGCUGCCGCAAUUCGUCUAGCUUCAUCGAGGGAAGCCUCACGGAAGUUGAGGGGACGCGACAAGCUAGGCCCUGCCUUCCACACGAACUCUUCUCUCGCCCUCCUCUUCCCCGCGACCCCGCCUGCCAUCUUCUGUUGCUGGAUUGCCGUGGGGUGGAAAUUCAACAGGACUUCCACUGAUUUCUUCACUCGUUGGUAAGCAAAGGAGGCUUUCCUCGACGCAUUGUUCUAGUACUGGGAACUUCUUAUGUUCUAGGGGACAGUCUCUUUGUCGUGGCUGUGGGCGAUCAAAUCCAAAUUCUGUAGUUCUCUAGUUAGACGCCGAUUUAUGUGCAGUUUGAUGCCUUAGGAAUCCAGAUAAUCGAAGUUAUAAGAAAUUCCAAAUCGCAAGGUCAACCUAGCUUGUUUUUCCAGAGAGAGAAGGAGAGAGGAUGUUCCCCAUCCCCAACUUCAGUACACUGCUGCAUAUGUAAUGUAGAAUACCUUUAUGUUUUUGAGUAAGGUAGUAUAUUACCGUAAAAUUCCUAAGACCUUUCUGGUAGUGGUAGGAUUGAUAAAUUUGCUGCACCUUUUAGCGUUGACUAUUUGAAUAUGUUAUCGCCGAGCUAAGAAUAAAGUUUGACUUGUUAAUUAUCUGUAGUAAAUCAUUGUUCCUUCAUAUUCGCAUAUGAAGUUGCACUGUUUCGACUUUCGAUACUAUCACAACACAUUACCAUACUUUCUAGGUUGUAUAUGGAGCAGAGCUUUGAGUUGGAUUUGUUAAUUCUAGUUACUUGAAGCACAUUCCAUAACCAUGGCCAACAAAAGGUGCUUCCAUGUGAUAUCUGCACCUUUAUGCAAUUGCAAAGACGUAAAUAUUUUGCUGUUCCUUGAAAUCCUUACAAUUUUCAUGAGCAAGCCUUUGAGUCUGCAUAUCGGUGGGCAUUUGCAGAGAAAAUCGACAAAAGACAUCAGUAGGAACGAAUGGGUUACGGCAUGAGUAGGCUAGAAGAUGAAUACUUUGAGCCUGAAGGGCAGGAUGCUGAUGGAUCUAGUUCAGAUCAAGUGAAUGAUGAGUUCUCAAAAUUACAUAACGAUAUUUUCCAUAUGACUCGAAUGAGAUCAGGACUUAGUGAAAGCAUUUACAAGUCCGUGGGUGCCAACAGAGGCAUAAUAUCAACGGCCAAGUUGUUAUCUGGAAGGGAGGUUGAUUGUUCUGGAAAGGGAAAGUUCUCUUCAGGUGACCGUGCAUUUGUUCUUGGUCGCUAUGUUCCAAUGAACGGUCCUGAAUUGUUGGAUAGGAUGGAUUCUCGUGCUUAUGUUUCACAGUUUUCUGCCGAUGGUACUCUUUUUGUUGCUGGUUUUCAGGUAUGCUAUGCUCAACCAAAAAAUAGUAAAGGUUUUACAAAGUUCGAGUUGGCAAAUUUCCUGCAGUUUAUUUUGUUUUUGUUUUCCUGUCACCAUUUUAUGCAUUUUUUAAAAGAGAAAAAAAUUAUGAAAAGCAUAUAACAUUUCUUUUCCUUUUCCAGGGAAGUCAUAUAAGAAUAUAUGAUGUUGACAGAGGUUGGAGGAUACACAAGGACAUUCAUGCUAGAAAUUUGAGAUGGACAAUCAGUGAUGUAUCCUUAUCACCUGAUCAGCGAUAUCUUGUAAGUUUCUUCUGGCUUUUAACUCCUCUAGCUCACCACCCUUAUUCAACAUGACUUUGUGCCUUUUUGGUUUGUAUAACUCCAUUGUGCAACUUCAUCAGCCAGCGUUGCAGUUAAUCUCUUUCAUUGUUCUUCUUAUUGAGAAGAAGCAUUUCAUAUGCAACUCUGUUCAACAGAUGAAAAAAAUAAACCAAAAUAUGUGGUAUAACUGUACUAAAUGUGGGUUCAUCUUUGCAAAAGAUUUUUGUAUGGGUACAUGUUUACAACAGGUUUUCUGUUUUCCCUUUUUGCUUAUUUCUUUUUGAGGGGAGGGUGUAGGGGGAUGGGCAGCAUCCAGUCUCAUCUAGUGGAAACGUGAUGAAGUUGGGAAGUGGACUUACCAAAAAGAUUAGUAUUCACAAAUGAAAUGUUUUUUUUUCUUUUGGGCAGCUCACAUGGAUCUUACCUGUGUCAAGCUACCAACAUUAAAUGUAUUGAGGUUUUUUUAACCAUUAAGUAAACUAUAAUGACUGAAAGUACAUGUAAGACAAUGAAGUUUACGUGUACAAUUUAGACCUCAUUAAAUCCUUUUGGUCCUUCAAUGAAAUGACAUGUGUUGGUACGAGCAUUCUUGGAGGUUUGCAAAUGCAUGCUAGUUCUUCAUGUCUGCAUAUUAUUUAUUUAUAGACAUACUUCAUCAGUCCCUGUGGAAUACUCUCUCCUUUUCCCAUUUUUGCUUGUAUAUCCGGUUCAAUAAUUAUUUUUUAUCUUUAAUUCUGCAGGUCUACUCUAGUCUAGCACCUAUUAUCCAUAUUGUCAACGUUGGGAAUGCGGCAAGAGAAUCCUAUGCUAAUGUCACUGUGAGUUCUUAUUAGAUUCUUUUCUUUCAAUGCUGCACUCAUGCUCGAACUUUUCAAGUUUUGUAGGGUAAAAAAAGUGAGAUACAGUUGGGUUUUUCUUACUUUCACAUGCCUGGUUUUGCACAGCAAAUGAUCAACUUUUAGAAAUAUUUCUAUUUAAUACAAUUUUCAUGUUAAUCAUCAAUAACUGCAUUUCAUUUUUACUUCCGUCGUGAAUAAAUAGAGCGAAACGUACAAGCGUUAAACCCAUUUUUAGUGAAAGAACCUCUGAGGGCUUUGGACUUGUUUCUUGCUAAAAUAGUAGCCAGCUCACUAACUUCUUAUUUCUUAAAAUUGGAAUUCGAUCCAUCAACUGGAUGGUGCUAAAUAUUUAUAAGACAAGAUACACCUGUUAGCAACCUCUGAACCUCCCCUAGUGUAUUUAUCAAUCAUAGUACAAAUGUAUUGACAAGCUUGGUUUACAUGGUAGAACUUAUAUAGAUGUCUUUGGAGACGGUAUUCACUUGUUUUGCAAUGAAUGAUUCUGGGUGCUUGAAAGCAGCCACUGUACCUUUUGUCGUACCUUUGUAUUAUUUCAUAUUGGGAUCUGGUGCUGGACAGCUGGAGUUUACAUUUUUUAUUGACAAUGGGAAUGUUUCCAGCCUAUGCUGGUGUUAAAUCUUCACCUACUUCUUUGUAUUUUGAAAAAUGUACCGACAUAAUAUCUUUUCACUGUUUACGAAGUCUAAAUGAUUACAAUUGAGAACAAUUUUACACAUCUUUCUGCAGGACAUUCAUGAUGGAUUGGAUUUUUCACAGCAUGAAGAUGUUCAAUAUUCAUUUGGAAUAUUCUCUGUGAAAUUCUCCUCUGAUGGCCGGGAACUUGUUGCUGGCAGCAAUGAUGAAUCAAUAUAUGUCUAUGACCUGCAUGCAAACAAAUUGACAUUGCGUUUACCUGCUCAUACAGUAUGACAAAUUGCUUACUUUCUUGGCUUACAUAAGCCAUAAAUUUUUUACUUGAUCCAAAUUAUGUUUUGUACGUGGGCCCUUUUUUAGUUCACAUCUCACUCUUGGGAGAUUGGGGUUGAUUUCCAACUCCAAUGUUCGUAACCUGGUUGCUCUAUUGUCUCGUUGCUCCAAGAAACUCCAUUGAUGCUUAUAAAGAUGUGAUCCUUAUGUCCUGCCCUUUUCUGGCAAGUGGCAGUAUUAAUGUCCUAAGUGUAGACUUGAGUUUCAGAAGAAAGAAGUGAUAUUUCUGGAUCCAAAGGUAGAUGGUGGUAUAGGUUAGUUGUUUUAUUGUGCUUAAAAAAGACACAGGAGCCCCUGGUCUGAUUUAUUCCCUUCGCUGGGCUUGGAUGUCUACCAUGCCAAAUUUUUUGAGGUACUAGCAUAUGCAUCCAAAUUUCCAGCCCUUGGAGAUUGUGGAGCUGAUGGCAUCCAAAUUUCUGGCCUUUAGAGAUUAUGGAGCUGGUGGUAUCCAAAUUUCUGUCCCUUAGAGAUUAUGGAGCUGAUUGGCACAACAGCAAAGAAGUUUGGAGCUGUUCUAAGAAGCCAAGUGCAUCACAAUUUUCGUCCCUGACUAUUUUGGUACAUGACUCCAGGUCUUUUUGAUUUUACUCUAGACGUGGAACCACGAGAAAUACUUGAUUGUCAUGUGGUGUUGAAUGGUUAGGCAGUGAUGCCUCUUGCCUGAUCAAGAAUAGAUUGACACCCCCAUUUCAAAUCGACCCUUAGGAACACUUGUGUGUUGCACAUGAGCCCUUUUCUAGCUGUGCUUGUUUGGAUACAAGCUAGUUUUGGAUAGAGAGAUGUCUCUGUCUGUACAGAAGAGGCAGAGAAAGCUUAAGACAAUAGCAGAAAUAUGAGAGGCCCUCACUAAGGAUGGAAACAGAGUAUGAUGGAAAAAAGCUUAUGAUCCAUCAAGUAGGACCACCGAAGCAUGAGCUGAAGUAGAGCUUGCAUCAUGUGGCCCAUAUGUAAGUCAAAUGGAAGGGAUUUAUACAGGAGUUGUAUAGCCGAGUUUUGAAAGAAAGAAAAGGCUGGCUUCCAAUCUCAUACUAUCCAUCUAUUCCCGGGACUCAUUCUUGCUGCUGUACCACUGUUCCUCUUAGGUUAUGCUGCUCAUACCACAGCGCUGACAAUAGGAGUCCUCAGACCUAGUCAACACAAAGUGUUCUCCUUUCCUCCUCUCUUGUCCCUUCCAUCUGCCCUCCUUGAUAUUUCCUGCUUGGGCUGGUUGUACCAUACAGCAGCAUUUUUGCAAACUCAACCAACACUGUGUUGUGUGAACCCCUUGGAGUGGAAGGUGGACACUGGGACUGGUAAAAAAGGAGUGUGCAGCUCAAUGGUUCUUUAGUCAAAAUACCUGUCGAUUGGGCUCCUAAUGGACCCAGCUGCAAUGCCUCGUCUCCUCAUGCUCUGCACCCACAUCCUAUGGCUUGGUUGAUGAGUUCCUCUUCUUGUUGAGGGUUUUAAAUAUUGUGGGUGAGAAGUGAAUUUUCGUGAAAGUCGACGGGAGUGAAGCUGACUACUUCUUUCAGAUAGUAUCCAAAUAAACUAGGCCACACAUAGGAAAUGUCUCCAACUGUGAUAACCUUUUUUCGUUUAUGCUAUUUGUUGAAUAUUUUUUAUGAUAAAAAGGGUAAAAGAAUGUUUUAGGAUGCACAUGCAUCCCACGGAGGGGAGUAAUAUGUGCCUUGUCACAGCUACCGAAACCUCACUAAUUUGCUAUUCUGUGAUUGUUACCAUCUUGAUAGUCUUUCUAUACUUCAUAUUUUAUCUGUUGGUUUAUAGAAUGAUGUUGUCAUUCAAUUUUCAUCUUUUCAGUCUGAUGUCAACACAGUAGCGUUUGCUGAUGAAAGUGGCCAUCUCAUAUAUUCUGGAAGUGACGACACUUUAUGCAAAGUAGGUCGCUGUUCUAAAUUUUGUAAACUUGUCUCCAUUAACAUAUUUGAUCGAAUUAUUUCUCUGAUUUCUUCAUCAUACCUUGACAUACGUAUUUCUAAGGUGUCUUUUGUGCUACUCCAUUUUCUUUAUGGGAAAAAAAAUCAAUUUUACUUCCCUGGAGACUUUUAGUUGUCUGGAUAGCCUCUCAGAACUAUCCACCUGAACAAUUAAAAACAGGGUCACUUUACUACCACCUAGCACAUUUAUCCUCUUUUUUUCCGUUCCACACAGGCUGUGUUACAAGUUGAAAUUUUGUGCGAUGAUAUAUGGAAUCAUGCCUUUGUUACAAAAUAUUUUCAUGACUAUCAAUGUAAGUUUGGAGCAGUGAAACUGCUUUAACCCUCAAGAUAUGAAAAUGUUUGCUAACAGUAAAAAAACAUGGAACUAUUUUGUAACAUAUUGCAUGAUGUUAUCUACCAUCAGCCAAACUCAAAAUAUAACUUAUACAAGGAGAAAGAAAAAAGAUAAAUGCCAGUAGGGGUUGAAGUGUCCUUGUUUUAGCAGUUCAGAGGUUAUAUGGACCAAAACCUCGAGGGAGUAAGACCUUUUCUAAAGUGGGGACAUACUGAUUCUUUAUUAUGCUACCUUAAUAUGAAGUGCUGGUCAAAUAUUUAGCGUUUACUUAAUCUUCUUAUUGUUUCUACUUGAUACCAUAUGCUUGGUAUUGUUGCAUGAAUAAAAUGAGAUGUUUUGACUAUGUUAGAUGUUAAACUAGCUACUGCAACAUUCUAGCAUGGCAUGCUUAUUUCUUUAUUUUUAUUGCAUAUCACUCUGACUUUAAUUCUCAAAUGAAACUAGUGUCCAAAUUUAAUUCAGGAUAACUGAUUCAGAUGAUGAAAUUGGCACAUCAAAACCUCAAAUCUUUCUUUUGUGCCCGUGAUUGUAUUUUCAACCUUCUGGAUUUUUUUGCAGUCUGUUUCAGUGCUUUAGGGUUGGAUAUUCUGAAGUUUCCCUGGGAAAAUACGAAGAAAAACGUUUGAUGUUCUAAAUUCUGCUCAUUUCAUCAGUGCUACGGUAUGUGAUCUUUGUAGUCUGCAGGUCUGGGACAGACGAUGUUUAUCUGCAGGACAAGCUGCCGGAGUUUUGACUGGACAUUUGCAUGGGGUAACACAUAUUGAUAGCCGUGGAGAUGGCCGAAGUUUCAUAUCCAAUGGAAAGGACCAAGCAAUCAAAUUGUGGGACAUUAGGAAAAUGAUGUCCAAUGCUGAUAGGUACUCUCAUGGAAUCGAAAUACAAGUCCAUCUAGCCAUUCCUGAUCUUCUACCAAUAUAAAUUUAUAUACAACUUAAAGGAACAUUUUUGCUGCCUCCUUUUCUGCUUUGCUCCUCUUUUUAUCUUAAUAUUUUGACAAUCAUUGAUGGACCACCCACUUUAAUUCAUGUGCACACCAAAUGUGGAAACCAAAUGAACAUAUAUGUGGAAUAAGAGGGAGUAUGUGUUGUGAUACUGAUCUAAAAUGUGUCUGAUGUACAUGAGAUGAGGAUCAUGUGUUGUGGGCCUCCCUCAACAGUGGCCAGUUUGCCGACUCCAUUCUCUUAUCUUAAAAAGGUUUUCAGAUUUUGAUUUAUUGGCCAUCUUACAGUGUGAUGCUAGUCUAUUCUUCCGUGCAGUUGUGCAGAUGAUGCCCCCACUUGGGACUACAGACUUUCGAGGUAUCCACAGCAGAAUAAACAAUUAAAGCAUCCCCAUGAUCAGUCAUUAGCUACAUACCGGGGUCAUUCAGUCCUCCGCACAUUGAUCCGUUGCUACUUUUCUCCUGCGUAUAGGUAACCUUUUUCCAUUUAUUCCAUUUAUACGGUAUAUCUAGGUGCUUACAUCAUUGAUGUAUAAUUUUUCUGUUUCUACAGCACGGGGCAAAAGUACAUAUAUACAGGAUCAUAUGAUUCCAGCAUUUACAUCUAUGAUGUGGUAUGGCUGAUCUUGGCAUGCACUUCAUUUAUAGAAAUUAAUCUCCUUGUCGCGAGGAAAGCAUGCCAUUUUGACAGCAAAACUUUUAGAUACACGCUGGGAAAACUUGUGCACAAUCUGACAGAAGAAAAGAGAGCAAAAAGUUGCUCAUAAUUCAUAAACAACGUCAAGAACUCUUUGCAUAUUUGUUUCUCAACUUCGUUUCAUGUUACAGGUAAGCGGAUCGCAAGUAGCGAAACUGAAAGGGCAUCAAACGGCGAUUCGAGACUGCAGCUGGCACCCAUUUGAACCCACGCUUGUGAGCUCAUCCUGGGACGGCCGGGUCGCUAAAUGGACCGGUGCCCGUGACGAGGAGAUUUCUGAUGUCGAUUGAGCCUAGUGUGCAGUGAUCAGUAAUACUUCGUGGUCUGCGAAAACAUACGCAAUCUUAUAUACGGGAAAACUAAGAAUAGCUCUUCAAAACAACAGAAGGAUCAUGUGUUGUAAAUUGUAAAUACUGAACACAGAAACCAUGUUGAGUGCAUAAGCACUACUGUGUCCUCUUAAAUACUCUGCAUAAAAAGCUUCCUGUCCCUACGGACGUGUGUCCUCUUAAUUGUCGAUGUUCCGCUGAUUAUUUGGUUCUUAGAUCAUCGGAAGCUCAUCCUUUCUGUAAAUGAAUUUUCUUGGGGUCGUCCUUUUGUAAAUGAAAAUUACCUUAGCAUAUCUUUUGAUGGGAAUGCGGCAAGUAAUCGGUAUUCUAACCCGGUAGAUGCAAGGCGAACACCGACGAAACCUAAUUCCAUUCCAGAUUUUUCCAUAUCCAAGCAACACAGAUCUUCCAACACGGACAGAGAGAGAUUUCAUCGUCUAUCCGCUACGACACCACGCAAUUUUAACAGAUCCGGCGACACCGGCUAAACCCGAUGCCUCCUCUCUAAAUCUGAAGAUCCCCGGCUACUUCUUGACGCCGUUCUUGCCGGCGCCCUUGCCGCCCUUGGCGUCGGCGCCCCCCGCGGCCUGCGCCGCCUUCCUUGCAGCCUUCUCCUGCAGCGCCUUGGCGUCCCGCUCUCGCCGCUGCUCCGGCGUGAGCCCGUCGUCGCGCCCCUUGGCCACCGGCCGCCGCGCCUGCGCCCUCUGCCGGUCCCGCUCCCGCUGGUCGCCGCGUGCAGCCCCCCGCUCAGGUCAAGGACAACACCAUCCAAAAACACACCGAAACAAAAGGAAAGAAAAAAAAAGAUUCUACCAAGAUCUAAGGAUAACAGAACAAGAAGAUGAAAAUCCAAAGAGAGAGAGAGAAAUUCUACGCAUGGUGUGGUGGAGGAUAUGAGUC